rnacentral:rRNA from 1 species
GCUGCGGUUAAAAAAGCUCGUAGUUGGAUUUCAGUCUAGGAAGGUUAACUCGCCGAAAGGUUGUACGUUGAUUUUCCUCAGACUUCGUCAGAAGCUCGUGCUGCACUUAACUGUGUGGUACGAUGUUCUGACCUUUUACCUUGAGGAAAGUAGAGUGUUUCAGGCAGGCUACCCAGCUUGAAUACAUUAGCAUGGAAUAAUGAAAUGGAUCUCGGUUCGAUUUCGUUGGUUCUAGAGCUGAGGUGACGAUCAAUAGGAACAGGCGAAGGUAUUCGUACUUGAGAGUGAGGAGUGAAAUCCGAUGAUCUCUUAAAGACGAUCCGAGGCGAAAGCAUUUGUCAAGGAUGUUUUCAUUGAUCAAGAACGAAAGUUAGGGGAUCGAAGACGAUUAGAUACCGUCCUAGUCCUAACCGUAAACAAUGCCGACUAGAGAUUAGACGCUGUCAGUGUUACGAUACGUCUAGCAUCUUCAGAGAAAUCAAAGUCUUUGGGCUCUGGGGGGAGUAUGGUCGCAAGGCUGAAACUUAAAGGAAUUGACGGAAGGACCCCACCAGGAGUGGAGCCUGCGGCUUAAUUUGACUCACCACGAGAAAUCUUAUCAGGU